rnacentral:tRNA from 1 species
GCUCGGAUGGUGGAAUUGGUAGACACGCUGGACUUAAAAUCCAGUGGACAUUGCGUCCGUGCGGGUUCAAGUCCCGCUCCGAGUACUA